UUCCGUAGUGAACCUGCGGAAGGAUCAUUAUAAAUUUUUUGAAUAAAAAAAAUAAUAAUAUCCUACCUUGUGAAUUUGUUUUGUUGAAUAAUUUUUAAAAUUAUUUAUUGUCUAUCCAAGUUGGAAGUUGUAAAACUAGAAGACUUGGAGCGGCAUAAUAAUUUAAAGACUUUUUUCUAAAAUUAAACUUUUGUAUUCAUUGUCUAAAUAAUUUUAUAAUAUGUAAAAAACUUUUGACAAUGAUCUCUUGGUUCUCGCAACGAUGAAGAACGCAGCAAAUGCGAUAAGUAAUGUGAAUUGCAGAUACGUGAAUCAUCGAAUCUUCGAACGCAUAUUGCACUUUUUAGUUACUAAAAAGUAUGUCUGUUUGAGUAUCAGUAAAUAUCUCAUAAAUUUUAAUUUAUGUUAUGAGUGUUUACAACGAUAAACAAGUUGUUUCACUUUAAAUGAUUUUUGAAGAAAUUCUUAAUUCAAAUUAAAUUUGGAUAAAUUUCCGUAAAAGGAAUAACUAUACAGUUUAAUAAGAAUUUAGUGAUUUCUUUAUGAAAAGGAAAUUUAUUAAAUAACUUGAUCUCAAUCAGAUAAGAGUACCGCUGAACUUAAGCAUAUCAAUAAGCGGAGGAAAGAAACUACAGAUUCCCUAGUAACGGCGAGUGAAGCGGGAAGAGCUCAAAUUUGAAUCUAAAGGUUUCCUUACGAAUUGUAGUUUAAAGAAGUGUUUCUGUUGAGGUUUUGGUAAAAGUUCUUUGGAAUAGAUCAUAGAGGUGAGAAUCCGUAUUUGACCUUUACUUUCAACUUUGUGAUACACUUCAAGAGUCGAUUGUUUGGAUGCAGUCCAAAAUGGGUGGUAAAUUCAUCUGAAGCUAAAUAUGGACGAUAGCGAACAAUACGUGAGGGAAAGAUGAAAAGACUUUGAAAAGAGAGUUAAACAGUACGUGAAAUUGCAAAGGAAGCGUUUGACACCAGUGUUGUUUUCUGAAAAUCAAUUAAAGAACUGUUUAUGCUAAGUUUUAGACUUUAUCAGCUAACUGUUUAGUUUUGAGCUUUCUUUAAAGCACUUUCAGUUAACAAGUCAACAUCAAUUCUUUUGCUGUAAAAAAGCUUGAGGAAGGUGGCUUGAGAUUCGUCUUAAGUGUUUAUAGCCUCUUGCCUACGCAGUCGGAGAUUGAGGUCUGCAGCGUAGAUCUUCGGGCUAAAUGCAUUUGUGCUAAGUUAUAGCAUUUAUAGACAACUUGUUGACUAUGAUUGUCUUGUAGCUUACUCGCUUAUGUUAUUUACCUACGCUUAGAUGUU
rnacentral:misc_RNA from 1 species